rnacentral:snRNA from 1 species
AUCACUUCUUGGCCUUUUGGCUAAGAUCAAGUUUAGUAUCUGCUCUUACCAGUUUGAUAAUAGUUUGAUAAUAGUGAUAUCAGUUUGAUAAUAGCAAAAAAUAAGGAGAAAUCCAUCAUCUCCAUCAUCA